rnacentral:tRNA from 1 species
GCCGGCGUAGCUCAGCGGUAGAGCAGCGGUUUCGUAAACCGCCGGUCAUCGGUUCAAAUCCGAUCGCCGGCUCCA